AAGUUUCACCGCCAGAAUCUGCAGACUUUACCUGCUCCUCCUUUCACAUCUGCUGGCCCGCGUACUUUUGGGGGAAGAGGGGACCGUGAGUUGUUUGCUUUUGCUUCCCCAAAACUCAAUAUGGAAUUCCUUCUCCAGGAAAGUCUGGAUCUAUGCAUGUGUGACAGCCCACGGGAGGCUGCUUAUGGAGGUGAGGCCUGUGAGCGUGGAGGAGCCUUGGAAAGAGACGUGAUGGAGAGUGACGAAGAGGAUCCGGCCACCUGUAACUGUCAGCCAAAUGCAGAGACCGGGAUUAGGCUCACCAAGCUUUAUUGUCAGAGGCCAGGAGUUCUGGUGAACAGCAAGAGUAGUCUCUCCAUUCUGAACUACCUCAGAAUCUUGAAGACAAUCAGUGCAACAUUAUUAAUUUGAAUGACGGAAAUACAACGCACACAAGUGAAGGGUGUAAAGGUGAAAAUGGUGGUCCUGGAGAUGAGCCUCAGAGGAGCUGUUUAGGCCAGGUUUAUUGAAAGGGGAGGGUGACCCACCUGGGCAGUGCAAAGAUGGUGUGUGCACCUGGGGGCAGUUAGAGACCACUUUUAUAUGUGGCUGUGGGAGGUGGGCGCAUUCUACAGCUUUCCUGUCAGGUUAUGGUCUUUUGGUAAGAACUUCUGGGGGGUGGAGCUAGCCAGAUCCUUUGUGUCUUUGUUUUAGGACGAGAGAAGGGGGAGGAGGAGAAAAGGGUUUGUGCGGAUCUGCUUUAGGUCCCCCAACAACAAGGAUUUCAAUCAAAAGAUAAUUCAUAUACCAGAGCAGUAAUAACAACAAAGAGCCUAUUCCAUUAUGGAGUCAACUAAAAGGAUUAUGAAGGAAAUUAAAACCUGUUUUUUCUUUAGGACUUCUUGUAGCCAGGAAAUAAUUUGAGAUUUAGUCUAAAUUGCAGGCAAAUAAUAAAAAUUCAAAAACAAUGGUUAGGGCUAGAAUCUAAUAAUGGGUGUACUAUAGUUUUCUCCAGAAACAUAAUUUCUCUCUAGUUUCCCUAUUUUUAUCAAGGAUAAAUCACGUUAGAACCAAUUGAUUUGCAAAAUAAAUUUUAGUCCCGUUAUAUUAUCCUUGGCCUAAAUACGGGCAGUCCUGGGGUUAUGGAUGACCUGACUUAUGGCAUUCUGUACUUGUGAAUGGGCUCCCCAUAAGGAUAAUUUAUAAAUAAAUAAAUGAAUAACUCAGGAUCUGGUUUCUUCCAUGCAUGUAAGCAAAUCCACAUGGCAUAAGCAGUUCAUUGGCUCCACAUCUCUAGCAUCUAGUCCUAUAGAUAGAUAGAGAAGCAGCUGAUAGAAACACAAGAACACAAAGAAUCAGAAGAUCCAGAGUUGAGAAAGUUUAUGACAAAAGAAUUAGCUGAAGCCUUUCCUUUCCUUGAAGCAGGGUUUGCUAAGCUUGAGGAGCAAGAUUCUAACAUUGGGUGGAUUACAAAAACUUACCAUGUAGUCAGUGAGAACAUCAGCUGCUCCAAUGGCAUUUAUGAUGAAAAAAAGGAAAAGGCCGUGCAAACAACCCUAGAUACCUUUUUCAAGAAACCAACUUCAGAGGUAAGUUCUCCUCUUCCAACAAAAGAAUCAAAUCCUGAUUCUUUAGCACCCAUGCCAUCCUCUCCAGCAUCAUCUUCUGAUUAAUGUCAGCCUACCUUCUUUUUUUAAAAAUUAUUUUUUAUUCAAUCAUAACUUUGUACAUUGAUGCAUUUAUGGGGUUCAGGGUACUGCUUUGAUAUACAAUGUGAAAUGUCAGGCUACCUUCUUGUCUCAGAAAUGCCCCUUCCAGGGUGGUGCCUGUGGCUCAGUCGGUUAGGCACCGGCCCCAUAUACCGAGGGUGGCGGGUUCAAACCCAGCCCUGGCCAAACUGCAACCAAAAAAUAGCCGGGCGUUGUGGCGGGCGCCUGUAGUCCCAGCUGCUCGGGAGGCUGAGGCAAUAGAAUCGCGUGAGCCCAAGAGUUAGAGGUUGCUGUGAGCUGUGUGACGCCACGGCACUCUACCCGAGGGUGGUACAGUGAGACUCUGUCUCUACAAAAAAUAAAUAAAUAAAUAAAUAAUAAUAAUAAUAAUAAAAUUAAAAAAAAAAAAGUU